AGUUGAGCUAUGUGGUUGGAAAGGAAAUCAGACUCUCCGGUGUUAUGUUCCUAAAGUAGGCCGAGCACACUAUCUAAGAAUAUGUGGAGUUGAUGUAUCUGAAUAUGAAAUGAGAGAGAAAAAGAAAUUUAAAAUUAAGGAUGAGAGUGGAGAAAAUGUGGAUGAAGAAAUGCUUGAAGAGGCGGAGAAUAAUGAAAUAUCAGAUGAACUGUUAGAUUGUGAUUCAGACACUAAAAAUGUAAUCAAAAGAGAUGAUAAUGCUGUUAUAAGUUGACAAUUGUAUGUAUAGAUGUUGAUUUUAUACAUUUAUAAAUAAAAACUAUGUAAAUAUA